rnacentral:tRNA from 1 species
GGAGAGGUGUCCGAGUGGUCGAAGGAGCACGCCUGGAAAGUGUGUAUACGGCAACGUAUCGAGGGUUCGAAUCCCUCCCUCUCCGCCA